CCCAAUUCACGCGAAAAGCCAGCUUCCUGCAAAUACAGACGGAGAAUUCUCAACACGUGGCACGUAGCAGACACUCAACCGUUGUGUGUGUGGAAAGAAUGAACAGAUUGGUUUGAGACCAUAACAGGAUAUCAUUGGGAGGUAAUAAAG